rnacentral:misc_RNA from 1 species
AAGUCGUAACAAGGUUUCCGUAGGUGAACCUGCGGAAGGAUCAUUAAAGUUUGCUUAAUUGCAUCACACAUGUUUUUUUAGAGAACUUGCUUGCAAGAACACUAAUAAUUUACUUAGUCAACCGAUAAAAAUAUCAAAACUUUCAACAACGGAUCUCUUGGUUCUC